ensembl:lncRNA LINC00923 long intergenic non-protein coding RNA 923
GGGCUCCUCCAGCGCGGCCAGAGCGGACGCAGAGGACGGGGAGGCGCCGCCGAGAGCGAGCCAGGGCUGCUAGCACGUUGUCACCUUUCACUUGGAGACAAAAUCCAUCACGUCAGCAGUCACAGGGCACCCUGGUUCCCUCUCUGAAUGAACUGUUAAAUGACUAAGCUGGCUCCCAACAGAGGCAGAGCCCAGCAAUAUGCGGCCUGUAAUCUGUCAGAUGAUACAGCAACAGGCCCAGUGAGGGGCCCGACACACCCCCCAGGAGAGUGGAGUCUCUCACUGCAUGUGACGUGGAAGACGCCGAAGAGGUGAGGGAGGCACCAUAUGCUGCGGGCCUGCCAAGGGAGAAUAAACAGCACCGGCAGCCUGGCACAGAGCUCUGGCGGGAACGUCCACCAAGAUCGGUCAGGCACUCUCAUGGCGUCCUCCUGGAUACAGGCUUUUGCUUUUGUUUUUAAUUUUGGAGCAGUGAAGCCGAAAGUGAGGAGUGAGGACAAGGAGAAGACCCAUUUGCUCCUGUUCAUUCAAACAGCAUCUCUUCAUUUUGAAAUUGGCAAGAGGCAGUUCGGGGCUGUGGCAGGUCCUGUACACCACCUGUUGCCUCCCAAGUCACUGUGCCUUUCUGGCUUUCUUUACCUAUGUCCUGUAAAACGCCAGAGGCAGUUUGGACACACAGAGAUACCAGGGAUGUGUGCACCAUGUGAGGACCCAGCCAGAAGGUUAGCAUUUGCAGGCCAAGGAGAGAAGCCUCAGGAAGAAACCAGCCUUGCUGAUACCUUGACCUUGAACUUCCAGCCUCCAGAACUGUGAGAAAUAAAGUUGUGUUGGUUAGGCCCCA